rnacentral:rRNA from 1 species
AUACGUAGGGUGCAAGCGUUAAUCGGAAUUACUGGGCGUAAAGCGUGCGCAGGCGGUUGUGCAAGACAGAUGUGAAAUCCCCGAGCUCAACUUGGGAACUGCAUUUGUGACUGCACGACUAGAGUACGGUAGAGGGGAGUGGAAUUCCGCGUGUAGCAGUGAAAUGCGUAGAUAUGCGGAGGAACACCGAUGGCGAAGGCAGCUCCCUGGACCUGUACUGACGCUCAUGCACGAAAGCGUGGGGAGC